GCCAUCUCUCUGAACCUGCAGUGGAAUCCUAUCGACCACCAUUACCGCUGCUUCUGUAAAUGACAUGAUCAUCUCUGAAGUGAAAUUGGCGCCAUCUCAUUGAUCACCAACCGUUUGCUGUCCAUCAUUGGUGUUAGACGCCAUUGAGGUCUUGUCCAGCAACCAUGAACCUCGAUGUUUCUAUUAUGGUGCUUGUACCGGUUGAUUGCUAACGUUAGAAGAGGAUCUCUACAAGGAUGAUCAAGAAGUUGGAUAGCAAGAAUUUGGAAGGCAAGUGUAACAUGAGUUCCCUUGUUACCUAAUAACUAUUUAAUCACCUCUUCAUGUGCAUGUGUCUAAUGUGAUAAACCCCUAAGGACUUUACCUAGAACUUCUGUUAUCCUGAAUCUCUUGUUACCA